rnacentral:rRNA from 1 species
ACUACGGGAGGCUGCAGUGAGGAAUAUUGGUCAAUGGGCGAGAGCCUGAACCAGCCAAGUCGCGUGAGGGAUGACUGCCCUAUGGGUUGUAAACUUCUUUUAUAUGGGAAUAAAAUGUUCCACGUGUGGGAUUUUGUAUGUACCAUAUGAAUAAGGAUCGGCUAACUCCGUGCCAGCAACCGCGGUAAUACGGAGGAUCCGAGCGUUAUCCGGAUUUAUUGGGUUUAAAGGGAGCGUAGGUGGAUUGUUAAGUCAGUUGUGAAAGUUUGCGGCUCAACCGUAAAAUUGCAGUUGAAACUGGCAGUCGUGAGUACAGUAGAGGUGGGCGGAAUUCGUGGUGUAGAGGUGAAAUGCUUAGAUAGCACGAAGAACUCCGAUUGCGAAGGCAGUUCACUGGACUGCAACUGACACUGAGGCUCGAAAGUGUGGGUAUCAAACAGGAUUAGAUACCCGGGUAGUC